CAAAACGACUCUCGGCAACAGAUAUCUCGGCUCUCGCAUCGAUGAAGAACGUAGCGAAAUGCGAUACGUGGUGUGAAUUGCAGAAUCCCGUGAACCAUCGAGUUUUUGAACGCAAGUUGCGCCCGAAGCCUUCUGGUUGAGGGCACGUCUGCCUGGG
rnacentral:rRNA from 1 species